UACGAAGGGGGCUAGCGUUGCUCGGAAUCACUGGGCGUAAAGGGUGCGUAGGCGGUUCGUUAAGUCAGGGGUGAAAUCCUGGAGCUCAACUCCAGAACUGCCUUUGAUACUGAGGAUCUUGAGUUCGGGAGAGGUGAGUGGAACUGCGAGUGUAGAGGUGAAAUUCGUAGAUAUUCGCAAGAACACCAGUGGCGAAGGCGGCUCACUGGCCCGAUACUGACGCUGAGGCACGAAAGCGUGGGGAGCAAACAGG
rnacentral:rRNA from 1 species